GUAUUGGACUAACAAAUCUGGGUUUCUGGUAUUAAAUUCUACAAGUUGCUACAAUUAUACUGUAACAUUUAAUAGUUAUUUUGGUUGUAACAAGUUCCCAGUGAUUUGCCCAGGUCUAUUUAUUAGCCAAUACCUAUAGCUAGACAUUCUGUUUUUGUCUUUUUGCCUUCUUUUGGAUCAACCGCAAAAACAUAUGUGAGGAAGGCUGAACUUGAUGGACGCAAGUCUCUUUUCAGCUAUGUAACUAUGUAA